rnacentral:lncRNA from 1 species
AAUUGACAAAGAGAAGUCUGAUUUCCAAAAUCAUUAACAUUUUAAAAAGUAGGUGUUCUUUGUUGGUUAAAAACAUUUUCUGUCUUGCAGAGUGUCCUAUUCCUUGAAGGAAGUAUAACAUAUCCUUAUGACACAGUUUCCUUUGUCCUUAUGUUUGAAAAAAUUUCCUAAGCAUUUAAUAGAUAAAAUAAUUUUAACUUUUAAAAAGUACUAAGUAGUACUACAAAAUUUGUAGUAAAUGCAGAUUACUUUGUAAAACUUAAUAAAACAAAAAAGUUAUCAUUUG